rnacentral:rRNA from 1 species
UACGGGGGGGGCAAGCGUUGUUCGGAAUUACUGGGCGUAAAGGGCUCGUAGGCGGCCAACUAAGUCCGACGUGAAAUCCCCAGGCUUAACCUGGGAACUGCGUCGGAUACUGGAUGGCUUGAAUUCGGGAGAGGGAUGCAGAAUUCCAGGUGUAGCGGUGAAAUGCGUAGAUAUCUGGAGGAAUACCGGUGGCGAAGGCGGUUCUCUGGGCCUUACCUGACGCUGAGGAGCGAAAGCGUGGGGAGCAAACAGG